UUGUAGUUACGUUAUGAAUUUUAAUACUUCAGUUAUUUACAGUUCUUCAAUUCUCAGAUUUGUAAGCUUCUAUAGUGAGUGAAACUGAUUAUUUUCUGCUCAAGGGGAAUUGACAUACGAUUGAGAUAAAUCAUAUCUUCAGGCUUUAACGCUACUUCUCUGGGGAUUGCAUUUUGUCAUGUAAUCAGUAGGUAAAAUUCUUUGAUUAUUACGGGCAGAAACUGAAUUCUUCAGAUGUUGGUGUGUCUUGCAAAGGGACAUGCACUUUUUUCUCAAAGAAUAGCAAUUGGUAUCAUUAACAUCCUUGCGAUAGUAAUUUUCUUUUCAGGAGAUGCUUCUCAUAUUUGACUUUUAUAAUUGGUCUAUUAUCUU